rnacentral:misc_RNA from 1 species
GCAUUUGCAUUUGUCAUCUGGGUCCGACUUAGACACUGGUUCGGGUCAUAUCCACAUGCACAAUACUGCUGAAGAGGAAGAAGUUGAUUUGGGUCACACCCACGUACACAAUACUUAUGAAGGGGAAGAAGUGCACCAACGCGAAAUACCUUUUACUUCUUACCAUUUUAAUGAUUAUCCUCAAGAAAAUUGGAGUUAUAAUUAUCCGGAAGAUAAUCCAUAUUCAUAUCCAUACCCGUAUCCCUUCUCCAAUCCUUAUCCAAACAUGUAUUACAUGAAGAGUUCUGCUACUCCGUCCAAGACAGUGGUCUAUGAGGAUCCAACAGUAAAUGGGUAUUCGAGUUAUUAUGGAAGUGCCGGGUAUUUCGGGUACCCGAUGAUGGGUUCGCCGCAGGAGCCAAGUCCGCAGAGGCCGCCACCG